GUCACGAUAGCUCAGGUGGUAGAGCAGCGGCAUUUUUAGCCGAAGGUCGUGGGUUCGAAUCCCUCUCGUGCCA
rnacentral:tRNA from 1 species